rnacentral:rRNA from 1 species
AGCGAACGCUGGCGGCAGGCCUAACACAUGCGAGUCGAACGAACUCUUCGGAGUUAGUGGCGGACGGGUGAGUAACACGUGGGAACGUGCCUUUUGGUUCGGAAUAACUCAGGGAAACUUGUGCUAAUACCGAAUGUGCCCUUCGGGGGAAAGAUUUAUCGCCAUUAGAGCGGCCCGCGUCUGAUUAGCUAGUUGGUGAGGUAACGGCUCACCAAGGCGACGAUCAGUAGCUGGUCUGAGAGGAUGACCAGCCACACUGGGACUGAGACACGGCCCAGACUCCUACGGGAGGCAGCAGUGGGGAAUCUUGCGCAAGGGGCGAAAGCCUGACGCAGCCAUGCCGCGUGAAUGAUGAAGGUCUUAGGAUUGUAAAAUUCUUUCACCGGGGACGAUAAUGACGGUACCCGGAGAAGAAGCCCCGGCUAACUUCG